AACAAGUACUUUUACUUUUUACUUAAGUAGUCAUCAACAACGGGUACUUUUACUUUUUACUUGAGUGAAUAUUUUCUAGAGUAACAAUGCUUUCACUCAAGUAAAUAUUUUCAGUACUUUACUCAUCACUAUAAUGAAAAUACAGGUUUAUAUUUACUAUGACCCUAACAUCCCACAAGAGCCUGCUGUUUCUCAUGUCACUUAAUUCCCUUCAAUGACUGUUUAAGAAAUCUGUGUUCAAAGGCUUUGAUGAUAGAUACUACAGCCAAGUGAGUUGGACAGUAACUAAUAAAUCUUAGCCUACAAUCAAAAGAGAACAUAUGGCUAGACAUGACUGAAUAGAAAACACUCAUUUACCUAUGUCAUUGUAAAGUAAUUAGCACAUGGGUUAGCAGUAAUGUAAGAUAUCUGAAAAUAUCAUAGUUAAGAACACAGUAUUCUAAUGCAAAGUUUACAAAGCUUAAAAACAAGCUUAAUACUU